rnacentral:rRNA from 1 species
UACGUGAAACCGUUCAGGGGUAAACCUGAGAAACCCGAAAGGUCGAAUGGGGAGAUUCAGCGCGUCUCGCGGUCUGCGAGCGGCGGUCGCGUGACGGUCGGCGUUCGCGCCGGCCGCACCUUCCGCCGACGACUCUCCGCGAACGCGUGCACUUCUCCCCUAGUAGGACGUCGCGACCCGUCGGGUGCCGGUCUAAGGGCCGCGGUGGAGGCCGGGCGGCGCUUCGGCGUUCCGCUCCGGACCCGCGGUUCCCGGCCGGCUCGCUCGACGGUACGACAGUGGCGCGGGGCCGCGACUUUGAUUCGCGUCCGGCCCGUCGCAAGUGCGGUGCGGUAAUCCGGAUCUCGGACCUAGUGCCGACUCCGGACCCGUCCUGCUGCUGGUGACGGAGUCCUCGGACAGACCCCGAUACGCCGGUCGGCGACGCUUUAGCUUUGGGUACUUUCAGGACCCGUCUUGAAACACGGACCAAGGAGUCUAGCAUGUGCGCGAGUCAUUGGGACGUUGCGAAACCCAAAGGCGUAAUGAAAGUGAAGGCCGCCUUGCGCGCGCCUAGGGAGGAUGCGUCGGGCUUCGGCCCGGCGCCGCACUCCCGGGGCGUCUCGUGCUCAUCGCGAGCUGAGGCGCACCCAGAGCGUACACGCUGGGACCCGAAAGAUGGUGAACUAUGCCUGGUCAGGACGAAGUCAGG